CUUAACAUCAGGAGGCAUACAGAAGGUAAAUUCACAAAAGCGAAAAGACACACAAUACUUAUUAUAUGCUAUAUCAAUCAUGAUACACAGAAACAUUUGGCCUAGGCUCAAACUCUUCGGCAAACGACUUUUCUUGUUUGAGACCAGCAUCAUCAAGAUAAGUAGUUAUACUAGGCCUUGGCUCAAACUCUUCGGCAAAAGACUUUUCUUGUUUGAGACCAGCGUCAUCAUGAUAACUAGUUAAACUAGGCCUUGGCUCAAACUCUUCGGCAAAAGACUUUUCUUGUUUGAGACCAGUGUCAUCAUGAUAACUAGUUGUACUAGGCCUUGGCUCGAACUCUUUCGAGAAUUUUGAUUUCUCAGCUUCUUUCAGCUUGGCGUCAUCGUGGUAGACGGAUACAUUAGGCCUUGGUUCAAAGGCUUC
rnacentral:lncRNA from 1 species